UACAGAGGGUGCAAGCGUUAAUCGGAAUUACUGGGCGUAAAGCGUGCGUAGUCGGUUAUCUAAGUCGGAUGUGAAAUCCCCGGGCUCAACCUGGGAAUUGCAUUCGAUACUGGAUAGCUAGAGUUCGGCAGAGGGAAGUGGAAUUUCGGGGUGUAGCGGUGAAAUGCGUAGAUAUCCGAAGGAACAUCAGUGGCGAAAGCGACUUCCUGGACCAGAACUGACGAUCAGGCACGAAAGCGUGGGGAGCAAACAGG
rnacentral:rRNA from 1 species